ACGGGUGAGUAACACGUAUCCAACCUGCCGUCUACUCUUGGGCAGCCUUCUGAAAGGAAGAUUAAUACAAGAUGGCAUCAUGAGUCCGCAUGUUCACAUGAUUAAAGGUAUUCCGGUAGACGAUGGGGAUGCGUUCCAUUAGAUAGUAGGCGGGGUAACGGCCCACCUAGUCUUCGAUGGAUAGGGGUUCUGAGAGGAAGGUCCCCCACAUUGGAACUGAGACACGGUCCAA
rnacentral:rRNA from 1 species